UUGGCAUCCAGCUGUGUGCUUUCAGGCUCUGACAACAUCACCAGGAGUGUGUACUGCAGAAGCAUUGUUUCUUCAUUUAAUUAUAUGCCCCUGGCUUUUAUUUUGAGUGAGCUCAGGACCAUGCUCACAGCCUAUUUCUCUGCUGAAGGUGGGUGAGCAGAGGCUCUGGGACAGACAGCCCCACCAGGAAGCUGGAGGCUGAAGACCAGAUGUGGCUGUAAACUGGAAACUCUUCAAAGCACAGCUCAGAAAGGCCUAGAGCUGCCAUGUGAGCAGUGUGAAGCCAUGACCACAAGCAGCCUGAAACAUGUCAAGGUCACCCAAGGGAUCACAGAAUCACAAAGGUUGGAAAAGACCUCUAAGAUCAUUGAGUCCGACUGGAUGGGUGUGAAGAAAUGGAAUAAGCUUCAUUACACUGUUAUGUGACAGAAGAGGUUCUAGGAGCUAAUGAAAAUACUGUGGAAAAAGAAGUGUGCACAGAAACACUUUGAUUUGAUUACAAUAAAAAAUUUAUUUUGAUUCAUAUCAUACUGAAAAAUUAAAUAAAUAAAAUAUCAACGAAUGAUUGUAUGAGACUUCCCACCAUUAGAGAAAAAAAUCAUAAUAGAUUGUGAAGUCAGAGAAAAUUACAAGGAAAACCUGGUCAUGGGAGGAAAAAA